GGGGGGUAAGAGAAUGGCGCGAAGCCUGAUCCCCCAUGCCGCGGGUGUGAAGAAGGUCUUCGGAUUGUAAAGAAUUUUAAGUUGGGAGGAAGGGUUGUAAAUUAAUACUCUGCAUUUUUGACGUUACCGACAGAAUAAGCACCGGUUAACUCUGUGCCAGCAGCCGCGGUAAUACAGAGGGCGCAAGCGUUAAUCGGAAUUACUGGGCGUAAAGCGCGCGUAGGUGGUUUGUUAAGUUGGAUGUGAAAUCCCCGGGCUCAACCUGGGAACUGCAUUCAAAACUGACUGACUAGAGUAUGGUAGAGGGUGGUGGAAUUUCCUGUGUAGCGGUGAAAUGCGUAAAUAUAGGAAGGAACACCAGUGGCGAAGGCGACCACCUGGACUAAUACUGACACUGAGGUGCGAAAGCGUGGGGAGCAAACAGGAUUAAAUACCCUGGUAGUCCACGCCGUAAACGAUGUCAACUAGCCGUUGGAAGCCUUGAGUUUUUAGUGGCGCACCUAACGCAUUAAGUUGACCGCCUGGGGAGUACGGCCGCAAGGUUAAAACUCAAAUGAAUUGACGGGGGCCCGCACAAGCGGUGGAGCAUGUGUUUUAAUUCGAAGCAACGCGAAAAACCUUACCAGGCCUUGACAUCCAAUGAACUUUCUAAAGAUAGAUUGGUGCCUUCGGGAGCAUUGAGACAGGUGCUGCAUGGCUGUCGUCAGCUCGUGUCGUGAGAUGUUGGGUUAAGUCCCGUAACGAGCGCAACCCUUGUCCUUAGUUACCAGCACGUUAUGGUGGGCACUCUAAGGAGACUGCCGGUGACAAACCGGAGGAAGGUGGGGGAUGACGUCAAGUCAUCAUGGCCCCUUACGGCUCUGGGCUACACACGUGCUACAAUGCUCGGUACAGAGGGUCGCCAAGCCGCGAGGUGUAGCUAAUCCCAUAAACCGAUCGUAGUCCGGAUCGCAGUCUGCAACUCGACUGCGUGAAGUCGGGAUCGCUAGUAUCGCGAAUCAGAUGUCGCGGUGAAUACGGUCCCGGGUCUUGUACACACCGAAUCUCUAGAGGAUCCCGGUACCGAGCUCGGAUCGUAUCAUGUCAUAGCUGUUCUGUGGGAAUGUAUGCGUCCAUCCACACAACACAGGCGAGCAUAAGGGGUAGCCUGGGGGCUAUGGAGUACAAUCCAUAAUGGCGGGAGUCACUGUGCGCG
rnacentral:rRNA from 1 species